GACGGAGGAUGCAAGCGUUAUCCGGAAUGAUUGGGCGUAAAGCGUUCGCAGGUGGCUGUUCAAGUCUGCUGUCAAAGACCGGGGCUUAACCCCAGAAAGGCAGUGGAAACUGAACGGCUGGAGUGCAGAUCGGGUAGAGGGAAUUCCCAGUGUAGCGGUGAAAUGCGUAGAGAUUGGGAAGAACACCGGUGGCGAAAGCGCUCUGCUGGACUGCAACUGACACUGAGGGACGAAAGCGUGGGGAGCAAACAGG
rnacentral:rRNA from 1 species